rnacentral:rRNA from 1 species
UAGGGAAUCUUCCACAAUGGGCGAAAGCCUGAUGGAGCAACGCCGCGUGUGUGAUGAAGGGUUUCGGCUCGUAAAACACUGUUGUAAGAGAAGAAUGACAUUGAGAGUAUCUGUUCAAUGUGUGACGGUAUCUUACCAGAAAGGAACGGCUAAAUACGUGUCAG